GGCGCUUCGGGUACACCCCGCAGGUGGCGGGAGGGCGGAACCUGAGGGUCCAGCUCGAGGGGCUGAAUAGCACCUGAGGCAUUCACCUGGAAAUUUUCAGGAAGACAAGAUUAGAGGAUCCUGUAUCUACAACUGAAAGGAACCUCAUGCGGGUUGCUACCCUGACCACAUAUAUGACACUAACCCCUAAGAAGUGGUUUAUGUCACACAAAAGGUGACUGACUGUCUUGAUAUUCUACUCAGCUUAAACUAGCUGUGUGGGUUGCCAAGGCCUGAAAAAGAAGAUGGGAUUGUUAACACUGUCACACGUGUUAGAAAGGAGAUGACUGGCACCAGACACCAACAGUCUGCAGAAAAGCAGAUGCUCCAUGUGUUUCUCAGGACAAACCUCACAAGUUUUAU